AAUCUGGCAACACUUCAUUCCAUGAAAUAGAAUGUGUUCUGAUGAGCCGAGCAGAAGUUAGUUUUACAAACAAAAGGACUUUAAGAAACAAGAAACCAAAGCAAACUGAUCAUUUUAAAGUUACUUUCAUUGCAAGAUGGGGACAGCAAGAUAAAACAAUAGAAAAAUGGGGCCAGGGAUUUAGCUCAAUGGUUCCGCCACCUGCCCCGAAAGCUCAAGGACCCGAGUUCUUUCUUUUUGACCUCAUUCUGCUAGAGAGAUGGAUUCAGUUGCUGUCUACCUAUGGACAAAGCAGAGCUUUUGAAAAAGGAGCUGGGGUUAUAGCUCAGUGGUGGAACACUUGCCUAGCACACAUGAGGCCCAGGGUUUGAGCCCAGCACCACUACAAAAAAUUUUUAAGUUACUAAGUGUAAGUGCAGUAAUAUUUUCAAAAUUUAUAAAAUAUUUAUGGAAUAAUUAUGUAGAGAAUAUGUGUGUACCUAUGGCCCAGUUUAGGAAGGCAAUGUGACCCUUGUUCCUAGUACCUCCUGUGGGCUCCUUCCAGGUCCCUACAUUUCUUUAAACUGCACAAAUAACCAAGGGUCUGAAUUUUUAGUUACUAUUUCUCUUGAUUUUCUUAGUAAUUUUAUCACAUAUCUGUGUAUCCCAGAACCAUAUACUGGUUAGUUUUUCAUUGUUUUGAAUUUUAUAAAAAUGAAAUCAUAUUGUAUGUCUUUUUCUGGGACAUUCCCUCCCCCCAACAUUAUAGCCUUAGAUUUCUCCAUGACAAUGCAUGUUAGCUUUUGCUUAUUAUUUUUCACUGCUGUCCGAACAUUCCAGAGUUUAGUAGUAGCUGAAUUGACUGGUAGACUUUUGGGAUGUUCCUGGUUUUAGUUAUUACAAACAUUGCUCCCAUAUAUGUAUGUUUCGUAUAUGUAUCUGUCGUGUGUAAGCACUUCUGUACCAGUGUCUCUUAACCUUAUUCGCGUCAUACCACACACAGAAAAUGGUAGAUAAUAUUGGUAUAGCACACUGGUUAAGGUAAUGAAGCUGUAUUUCAGGCCUGAAAGUUUCUGGCUGGCUGGAGAGCUGAGGUCUACCCUGGGCACACUCAUUGCAUAUUAGGGUGUCUCAACACCCCAGGUGGGAACCUUGCUAGGGUGUGUGCCUGAGAAUUGAAUUGCUGGUUGUAGGUAUGUGUUUCUUCUCCCCUCUAGGUAAUACCAAAUAACUCAGUAGUAUUAAUUAUUCUGUUAUGAACUGAGUACACAAACCAAAUGGCCUGAAUCUACAUUUACAACAAAAAGGAACUCUGCCAUUCUCUUGAUUAUGAAAAAGAAAAUACUUUAUUAUUUUCUACUAUAUGAAUUCAGAUUUGCUUUCUCCAAACAUGAUUAUGUCAGUAUCUUGAAAAUGUGACAGCAGAGUUGGAGGUAGUAAUGUUAAGAAGUGACAACAUGUCCCUGUAGUUGUUACUCAUUGUGAAAACCUAGGCUGAAUAAAAUACUUAUAAGAGCUAUAAUUAUGCCUUCCAGGUUUGGUAUUGCAUUAGCUUUUUGUUUUUUAGCCUCGAGAGGUAAUUUCAGAUGAUGUAACAUGAAGUAUUGAAAGCUAUUUAUUAUAUAAGGCAACUUUUAGUUUAGAAAUCCAAACAUUUAGGAAAGAAGCUGGUUUAUUUUGAUUAUUCUUAAAAUUGGUUUCUCUUAAACUAUAGAAGUCUGUAAUUAUCAGGAUUACAUUAAGAUAAUAAAUAAUGGUUUGUCUUAAACAUGCAUGCAAAUUUUGCAUUCUUCUGUUUCAAUUUCUUUUCUCCCAAAUAAAGCUGAUA
rnacentral:lncRNA from 1 species